AUUCUCUUAUUAAAUCUAUUUUCUCAUAAAAAAAACCCUAGCCUAUUUCUCUCAAUCCCUGUUCUCUACCGCAUCCCUCUUUCUCUUUCUCUCUGUUCUCGAUCUCUCUGAAGCAGAUCGGAUCGGAACUUCCCGUCACUGGUCCUCCGUGUUCAGUCUCUCCGCUCAGUCCUCUCUCUCUCUCGCUCAGCGGCUCAGUUGUUGUCGUUCUCUCUCUCUCUUAUACAUAUCACUUUGUCUCAGCGGCUCAAAACCAGAUCGGAACCGGCGGCUUCAGCUUCUUCAUCGCUCAGUAGCUCUUGCUCUCUCUUUCUCUCUGCGCGCGCGGCUGCUCUGAAGACUGAAACCAGAUCUUUCCGAACCAAAAGAAAACCCCCAAAGCCUUCUCUCUCAGCCUCUCUCACAUCUAGCCCUAAAUCGCUCUUCGUUGGGUGGAGAAAUAGAAGAGGUUGUAUAAGCUAGAGAGUUGUUGGAAAUGAAUGCUGAAGCUUUGCAAGUUGCUAAGGCAUACCGCCACCUUCUCAAAGCUGUCAAGAACCACGUUGCCAAAGAAGACACUAAGCGGCAUUUCAGAGAUUAUGUAACUGAAGAAUUUAGAUUCACAUGAAAAACCCAGAUACCAUGGAGUUUCCUACCUAAUUGAUUUUCUCCUGUGGUUUUCUUUGAAAUUUGCAGGUAUUUGAGCAAUUAUGGUUCCAGGGUAGUGGUAAACAA